rnacentral:rRNA from 1 species
AAUUCGAUUAGAGUUUGAUCCUGGCUCAGAUUGAACGCUGGCGGCGUGCUUAACACAUGCAAGUCGUGCGAGAAAGGUUCCUUCGGGGACUGAGUAGAGCGGCGCACGGGUGAGUAACGCGUGGGUGACCUACCCAGGAGACCGGGAUAACAGUGGGAAACUGCUGCUAAUACCGGGUACGCUUCAUAUUUCACGUAUGGGGGAAAGGCGGCCUCUGCUUGCAAGCUGCCACUCUUGGAUGGGCCCGCGUCUCAUUAGCUUGUUGGUAGGGUAACGGCCUACCAAGGCGACGAUGAGUAGCUGGUCUGAGAGGAUGAUCAGCCACACUGGGACUGGAACACGGCCCAGACUCCUACGGGAGGCAGCAGUGGGGAAUAUUGCGCAAUGGGCGAAAGCCUGACGCAGCGACGCCGCGUGAGGGAAGAAGGCCUUCGGGUCGUAAACCUCUGUCAGGAGGGAAGAAACCAUGGGAGUCGAAUAGGCUCUCGUGCUGACGGUACCUCCGGAGGAAGCACCGGCUAACUCCGUGCCAGCAGCCGCGGUAAUACGGAGGGUGCAAGCGUUAAUCGGAAUCACUGGGCGUAAAGCGCACGUAGGCGGUGCCGUAAGUCGGAUGUGAAAGCCCUCGGCUCAACCGGGGAACUGCAUUCGAUACUGCGGUGCUUGAGUGUCGGAGAGGGUGGCGGAAUUCCAGGUGUAGGAGUGAAAUCCGUACCGUCAAUCCUUUGAGUUUAUCCUGAG